GACGAACCGUGCAAACGUUGUUCGGAAUCACUGGGCUUAAAGGGCGCGUAGGCGGGCUCGCCAGUCAGGGGUGAAAGCCCACGGCUUAACCGUGGAAGUGCCUCUGAUACUGCGAGCCUCGAGGGAGGUAGGGGCGUGCGGAACUUCCGGUGGAGCGGUGAAAUGCGUAGAUAUUGGGAGGAACACCAGUGGCGAAGGCGGCUCACUGGACCGGUACUGACGCUGAUGCGCGAAAGCGUGGGGAGCAAACAGG
rnacentral:rRNA from 1 species